UACGUAGGGUGCGAGCGUUAAUCGGAAUUACUGGGCGUAAAGCGUGCGCAGGCGGUUCGUCGUGUCCGAUGUGAAAGCCCCGGGCUCAACCUGGGAAUGGCAUUGGAAACUGGCGGGCUUGAGUGUGGCAGAGGGGGGUGGAAUUCCGCGUGUAGCAGUGAAAUGCGUAGAGAUCGGGGGGAACACCCGUGGCGAAGGCGGCCAGCUGGGCCGACCCUGACACUGAGGCGCGAAGGCGUGGGGAGCGAACGGG
rnacentral:rRNA from 1 species